UCACCCUGCUGUGUACCUGCCUGUCAUAGUAGUCGUGAUUGAAUUUAACCUGGAUCAGAUUCAUGUGUUUUUGUCCAAUGGGGUCCAAAAGUCCUGAGACCUCUGGAAAGUGGCCCCCACUGUUUGUGGUCAGUCAUGCACUAGAAGUACUUCUGUCCUCAUAAGUCUUGUUCUGUUAGAUUGCAGUCCUCCCUGGCUGUGUCAUUGUGCCUCAAACUAUGUCUGUUGUCUUUCAAGCAGCUCAUCUGCACAAGUGUGACCUUUUUUGGUGCUGGAUACAGUGGUGGAUAGUUUUUGUCCAAGGGUUGGGUUGUUAAUCUCUGUUGACAUAAUAGGCUACGCUCUCUCUCCUCCUACUUUCCUCCACUCCUCUAAUACCAAAUAUGGUGUUGGGAGAAGUGCUCACAAUCCAGAAGGGAAGAGGCACAUUCCUCAGAACAGGAAAAGUCCACAACAGUGCCUGAGCUUUUCCCCCCAGGGAAUAGCUUGUCCCAUUAAAUAAGAAACAACUUAUACUAGAUAUUGUGUGAAAACCCCAUGUUUACUUAAUUGUUAGACUCAAGCAAAUGGUGUUGUUUUUUCUUUUCCUAUUUUGGCUGAAGGACAUGACUACAAAGUCUGCUGUUAGAUCAAAUCUACAUUGAUUAACCAUUUAAUCAUCAACAAGAUUGUGUCAAUCCUGGCAGUUCAUAAAGAUUAGGCAACUCCACUAUGACUUGUCAAUGUAAUUGUAACAAGAGCAACUUUGUGCUUACUAUACUGCUUCUUGGCUAUGACUAUAUUCUUACUGCCCUUUCUAUAACAUUAAAUAUUAUUUUGAAUUGGUAAACCAUACUUUUUCCAGAGAUUUGUUUUGAUUAAAAUUGUGACAUCUUAAUUUUAUGCAUGACUUUACAUUAGAUAAAGGGCUGGAAAUUCAGAAAAACUAUUCAGCAACCCCUUCAAAAAAUAGUAUGCAACCAAUCUGUGGGUUUCACCCAGUCUCUGGGAAUGACUGCUUAAGGGUCAGAUAACUCACAGAAGUAUUGAAUACUGAACAGUGCCGUAAAAUAUUGCAGUUUGAGUGAAGGCUCGUAAACAGUAGUGGUGUCUGUUGAAAUGUUAGUAGCUUUUGUAAGAAAGUCACCUGAGAGGUCAUUUUGUCUGGUAGACUCAUUAAAAUGGAAAGCAAUAACAUUCCUACCAUAAUAUAGGUCACACAAUAUUAGCCAUUCACAAUAAUGACCACUGUGGACAGUUGUACACUCUCCUUACUUAGGAGUUGAAAAUAAAAGUGGUAACUGUAAGAUGCAUACCAACACAUACACACUACAAAAAGGACAUGAACCAAAGUAUGCCCCCAAAAUCAAGGGGAAUUGUUACUCUCAUCUUUUUCUGAUAUUCCAAAUCUAGUUUGUUGUGGUGCUUGAUUUUAUAUCUCAACUCACAUAUUUACAUCUGCUUUUUUCACACAUUUACUUGUACCCCAGACGUUAAAUGUUUGUAAAUGUAAUCAAUGGACAUUUGCAUGUUAAUAAUACUGUAGUAUGAAUGUUCAUAAACGGGGUGGAGCAUGGAGUGUGAGUUCUCACCUUGCUGUUGAUGUGAAAUGAAAAAGGCAGGCUCACCAGAUGACAAGCAUCAGUUGCUGCUGACUUGUGGGGGGGGGCAGGGUUCUUUUAAGUAAUUGAUAUGCACCUUAAGUUGCAGAUGGAAAUAAUGAUGACAAUAUUAAUUAAUUUUUGUAUCAUUAAAAAAGCUCCAUCACUAAAAACAAGUCAGUGAAGUAAUUGAUCCAUUUUAAUUUAUUAACUGAAUUAUUCAUUUAAUUUGAUUUAGUAUCCUGAAUAGACUAGUUAGAAUGUUAUUGGGUAGCAAAGAA